AGUUGUUCCGCCAGGAGCAUUGCUGGGUAGCUACGUUGGGAAGGGAUAAGCGCUGAAAGCAUAUAAGCGCGAAACCCACCACAAGAUGAGAUUUCUUUAAAGGGUCGUGGAAGAUGACCACGUCGAUAGGCUACAGGUGUAAAGGCGGUAACGUCAUAGCCGAGUAGUACUAAUAACCCAUAGGCUUAUUGUA
rnacentral:rRNA from 1 species